rnacentral:rRNA from 1 species
GCGAUUACGGGUAGCCGGCCUGAGAGGGCGACCGGCCACACUGGGACUGAGACACGGCCCAGACUCCUGCGGGAGGCAGCAGUGGGGAAUAUUGCGCAAUGGGCGAAAGCCUGACGCAGCGACGCCGCGUGGGGGAUGACGGCCUUCGGGUUGUAAACCUCUUUUACCACCAACGCAGGCUCCGGGUUCUCUCGGGGUUGACGGUAGGUGGGGAAUAAGGACCGGCUAACUACGUGCCAGCAGCCGCGGUAAUACGUAGGGUCCGAGCGUUGUCCGGAAUUAUUGGGCGUAAAGAGCUCGUAGGCGGCGUGUCGCGUCUGCUGUGAAAGACCGGGGCUUAACUCCGGUUCUGCAGUGGAUACGGGCAUGCUAGAGGUAGGUAGGGGAGACUGGAAUUCCUGGUGUAGCGGUGAAAUGCGCAGAUAUCAGGAGGAACACCGGUGGCGAAGGCGGGUCUCUGGGCCUUACCUGACGCUGAGGAGCGAAAGCAUGGGGAGCGAACAGGAUUAGAUACCCUGGUAGUCCAUGCCGUAAACGUUGGGCGCUAGGUGUGGGGACUUUCCACGGUUUCCGCGCCGUAGCUAACGCAUUAAGCGCCCCGCCUGGGGA